UGCAACUGCCCGCCUCCCGGCUUUUCAAUAGGUACAGCAGGGCAAGUUCUUUAUGAGCUGCAUUUUGAACAGGUUAAAAUUGUUGGUAUUUGUUAGGAUCAAUGCCAUGAGUUACAGCUAAUUAACCUUGUGCCCAAACACCACUCUGUUCCUUCUACAAACUCAAGCAUCUCUUGAAAGAUUAUAAAAUAGUGGGGCCGCUUGGCAGGUUGGUUGCCUGGAUUUGCCCUAUCAUCUCAAAGAACAACUAUGUGCGAAAGAGAAGCCAAGAAGCAGAUGCUGGACUGAGAUGUGUGGAAUGAUUUGAAAUAUUGUGGAACUAGUUCCUUAUUAUAUCCAUUAUCCAGAAUUCAAAAAGUAUCCAAUGUGAAGAAAACUAACUGGUAGACUAAUUAAAGUAUUAUUGUAAUGACUAAAUCACAGAAAUGCCAUAAUAUGCAGUAUGUAUA